GGCCUACCAUGGUGGUAACGGGUAACGGGGUGUUAGGGCACGACACCGGAGAGGGAGCCUGAGAAACGGCUACCACAUCCAAGGAUGGCAGCAGGCGCGCAAAUUACCCAAUCCCGACACGGGGAGGUAGUGACAAUAAAUAACAAUACGGGGUUCUUUCGGAUCUCGUAAUUGGAAUGAGUACAAUUUAAAUCUCUUAACGAGGAACAAUUGGAGGGCAAGUCUGGUGCCAGCAGCCGCGGUAAUUCCAGCUCCAAUAGCGUAUAUUAAAGUUGUUGCAGUUAAAAAGCUCGUAGUUGAAUUUCGGGAUCAAUUUAUUGGUCGUGCUAUUGUACGUACUGGUAUUAUUGAUUCCUACCUUCUGACGAACCAUGAUGUCAUUAAUUUGGUGUCUUGGGGAAUCAGGACUGUUACUUUGAAAAAAUUAGAGUGUUUAAAGCAGGCUCACGCUUGAAUACAUUAGCAUGGAAUAACGAAAUAGGACGUUUGAUCCUAUUUUGUUGGUUUCUAGGAUUGACGUAAUGAUUAAUAGGGAUAGUUGGGGGCAUUAGUAUUCAAUUGUCAGAGGUGAAAUUCUUGGAUUUAUUGAAGACUAACUACUGCGAAAGCAUUUGCCAAGGAUGUCUUCAUUAAUCAAGAACGAAAGUUAGGGGAUCGAAGACGAUCAGAUACCGUCGUAGUCUUAACCAUAAACUAUGCCGACUAGGGAUCGGAUGAUGUUAAUUUUUUAUGACUCAUUCGCGCCUUAA
rnacentral:rRNA from 1 species